CGCGUAUCUGUAUAAUGUACGGUUAAAGGGCUAUUUUGUAUUUUUUGCCGAUUCGCACACAUUGGAAUGUGGCUAUCUCCUCCUAAGGCUUUCGUCCCACCGAUACCACAUUUGCUCAGGGCAAUCUACACCCCAUGCCCAUUCAAAGUUGUAAAAAUCAUGACGCUGCACCCCACGGUUUACGUUCUAGGGGGCGCCAAAAAUGACCCAAAAAUCCACAUUCUUAAAAGUCAUUUUGGCCACUGCAGGAGUACAGAGUACUGCAGUUCUAGGGGGCGCCAAAGAUGACCCAAAAAUCCACAUUCUAAAAAGUCUUUUUGGCCACUGCAGGAGUACAGAGUACUGCUGGAUACACACACAUAUACACACACGCAAACAUACACACACACACACACACACACACACACACAGACACACACACACACUCAGAGUCUGUUUUUUAGCACCUGCAAAAACAUGCUGUUUACAUAUUUGACAAGAAUGCAGAGGCUUCCUUUUGCCCCUGAAAAAAAUCAAAUUUCAAACACAACUUGACUGUUCAUUUCUCCAAAAGACAACCAUGAAGCUCCAUUUCAAACCUGAAGCAGAUAGUUGGUGCAUGUGUACAGUAACCUGAGGGGAGUGAGGUGACUAUUUCUGAGGAGAACAUGAGCAGUGAAGAUUCACCUUGGAGCUAGAACAGGGACGUGCACAUGAUUAUACAGGGGCAGGGGCUCAAGUUUUUUCCAGUCAUUUAUACAAUAUGGAAAUUAAUGUGAAAUUAAACCACAAAUAUGUGUGAUGAACUGUUUUUAAAACUUAAACUUCAAAUAAAAAUUGUAAACUUCAAAACAUAUGCAAAUUUUUAACAAAGAACAUAGUAAUUUACCUCUAUUUACAUCAAAAUGCAGGCAAUGGCCCAGGCGUUCUUUGUAAAAUUAUUUACAAAACACUGUAUAGUCUCACAAAUGUCACUUUUUAUUUAUGCCACUACAAAAAAACAUGAUGUAAAUGAUGCAUGAUGUAAAACAUGAUGUAAAAAACUUGUGUAGAUCCUCCUCUAUGUCAGUCCAUGUGUAAUUUUUCCAUAAUUCUUUGUUUUUUGCAGCAUUUUUGUUAGUGUAACUGCAGAUUGUGCUGACAGUGUCUAUGGCACAAAAAAAAAAAAAAAUUAAAAUGCCUCAACAUGAACCCCUGGUGGUCUCUGAGGGUGAAACCUGCUAACUGCUGCAGCUCUGUCAGCUUCAGUCUCCCAUGCAGAGCUCUGAGCGCAUGUGUGGCUCUGCACCCUUAGCCGCGUUGCUAACUCCUCAGUAAGGAAAGCCUGCUUCAUGUCAGAGUCUCUAAACUCCAGAAGAAGUCGAUAAAAGUCCCUUUCUUUCUAAAAAAAAGUCGUUAGGGUGUCUGAAAAGUCAUUGAAUCUAACAACAAAGUCGCUAGGUUUGCAACUACGUGUCCCAGACUGCAUCCCUGCUGAGAGUCCCUCCCUCCCUUCUCAUAUUGCAGGAAGAACGUAAGCGCCCGCCCCUUGUCAAUCAGUCACCAUAUAAUUUUGGAUUGGUUGUUGUGGUGAAGUUUUCCACCAAUAGGAGAGAUGUUGUGGUGUGUUUUUUUUUUCUUUUGGCAAGCCUUUUCCGCCUGUAAGACCUGUCGCUAAUGUCUGCAUGCUAUGUUUUCCUGUCUCAUACAGCGCGAUCGAGCGCCGAACGUGAUCAAAAUAAGCAGAAAAAAAGUAUCGCGGACAUAAUUUAUCAUAACUCUGGUUUUAUUUGGCCUAUCAACACAAUUUAAAAACUGGUAUAUAGGUUGAGGUCCUCACUUUUGAGAUAAGUUGAAACGGAGAGUCAACGAGGCUCCGUCUUGCAGCUACAUCCGGUUAAAUAUGUCAUGUGAUUUGAACGCACACAUAGACACACACACACACACACACACACACACACACACACACACACACACACUCAGAGUCUGGUUUUUAGCACCUGCAAAAACAUGCUAUUUACAUAUUUGACAAGAAUGCAGAGGCUCCUUUUGCCCCUGAAAAAAAUCUAAUUUCAAACACAACUUGACUGGUCAUUUCUCCAAAAGACAACCAUGAAGCUCCAUCCAAACCUGAAGCAGGCAGUUGGUGCAUGUGUACAGUAACCUGAGGGGAGUGAGGUGAGUGCUUCUGAGGAGAACAUGAGCAGUGAAGAUUCACCUUGGAGCUAGAACAGAGACAUGCACAUGAUUAUACAGGGGCAGGGGCUCAAGUUUUUUCCAGUCGUUUAUACAAUAUGGAAAUUAAUGUGAAAUUAAAACACAAAGUAUUAAUAGAAAGGUAAUGACUGUCCUGUGUAGGUGACAGUGAUAUCCAAUAGGCUAGGCACUCACGAGGCUGGCUGUGGCAAGUGUAAGUGAAAGCAACACGCACUGGCAGGAAGAACAGCAAACACCGAUGAAGGAAAAGGGUCUUUGCAGUGAUGGGCGUUAACAGAGAGGGCGAUGGCCAGAGGACACAAAUGGGACGGGGAGGCAGCACGUUGGGGGGGGGGGGGGGGGAGACGCGACACGGCUCGGGCCCGCCAGUGCCCCAACGGGGUCCUAGUUUCUUUUUCCUCCCCUUUGAACUGGAAAAUGGCCCACUUCCCACUGGCGAAAACUCAUGAAAUUUGGCAGGACGACCGGGCCUGGUGAAAAAUUUGAUAUUCCGAAGUCGCCCAAACAAGAAAAUGCAAAAUGGCUCCAUAGCGCCCCCUAAGGUGAAAAUUCACACUAUUGAGUGUCACGCCUGUACGCUUUGUCAAAAUGACACAAAAUUUGACACACACAUGUAUCUCAAUAAGAUCUACAAAAAAGUCAGUGCGGGCGUAUCUGUCAAAUGUACGGUUAAAGGGUUAUUUCGCAUUUUUUGCCGAUCCGCACACAUUGGAAUUUCGCUAACUCCUUUGAAGGCUUUCGUUCCACCGGCACCACAUUUGCUCAGGCCAAUCUACACCCCAUGGCCAUUAAAAGUUAUUCAAAUCAUGACGCUGCACCCCACGGUUUAGGUUCUAGGGGGCGCCAAAGAUAACCCUAAAAUCCACAUAUUUAAAAGUCUUAUAACUUUUUAUUUUUGCCCUCACUGGCCUCCAAGUUUUCUAGGAUGAUGCAAUGUCCAGCCAUCAACACAUUUGUGAAGGAAUUUUUACUCCCCAAAAGAGCGCCCCCCCAUGGCAGGAGAAAAAAGUCCAUUUUUUCUUGUCCCCUAAGGUGAAAAUACACAUUGUUGAGUGUCACGCCUGUACGCUUUGUCAAAAUGACACAAAAAUUGACACACACAUGUAUCUCAAUAAGAUCUACAAAAAAGUCCAUGCGCGCGUAUCUGUCAAAUGUACGGUUAAAGGGUUAUUCCGCAUUUUUUGCCGAUUCGCACACAUUGGAAUUUCGCUAACUCCUCCGAAGGCUUUCGUUCCACCGGCACCACAUUUGCUCAGGCCAAUCUACACCCCAUGGCCAUUAAAAGUUAUUCAAAUCAUGACGCUGCACCCCACGGUUUACGUUCUAGGGGGCGCCAAAGAUAACCCAAAAAUCCACAUUUUUAAAAGUCUUAUAACUUUUUAUUUUUGCCCUCACUGGCCUCCAAGUUUUCUAGGAUGAUGCAAUGUCCAGCCAUCAACACAUUUGUGAAGGAAUUUUUACUCCCUAAAAGAGCGCCCCCCCAUGGCAGGAGAAAAAAGUCCAUUUUUUCUUGUCCCCUAAGGUGAAAAUACACAUUGUUGACUGUCACGCCUGUAUGCUUUGGCAAAAUGACACAAAAAUUGACAAUCAUGUGUAUCUCAAUUAGAUCUACGAAAAAGUCAAAGAGCGCGUAUCUGUAUAAUGUACGGUAAAAGGGCUAUUUUGCAUUUUUUGCCGAUUCGCACACAUUGGAAUUUCGCUAACUCCUCCUAAGGCUUUCGUCCCACUGACACCAAAUUUGCUCAGGCCAAUCUACACUCCAUGGCCAUUCAAAGUUGUAAAAAUCAUGACGCUGCACCCCACGGUUUACGUUUUAGGGGGCGCCAAAGAUGACCCAAAUAUACAUUACAGUAGACAAAGUAGUUUUGCCCACUGAGUGGCGCCAAAGGGACUUGUCUGUGGAGUCUGUGAGUCACUAUUGGCCGUUUUUGACUACUUUAGAUUUUACCUUUAUAUUUCCUCUUACAAAAUUUUUACCUUGCCUUGCCUGGUAUCAUUUUUUUCAGCACAACCUCACCUGUGUCAAUUUACAGUUAUUUUAUCAUUUUGACAUACUAUAUUUACACAUUGGACCCAAAUUCACACACAAAACAUAAAAUCCGAGUGGAAAAAAGUAACGUUUUUACUGUGAAAACCACAAAUAUGUGUGAUGAACUGUUUUUAAAACUUAAACUUCAAAUAAAAAUUGUAAACUUCAAAACAUAUGCAAAUUUUUAACAAAGAACAUAGUAAUUUACCUCUAUUUACAUCAAAAUGCAGGCAAUGGCCCAGGUGUUCUUUGUAAAAUUAUUUACAAAACACUGUAUAGUCUCACAAAUGUCACUUUUUAUUUAUGCCACUACAAAAAAACAUGAUGUAAAUGAUGCAUGAUGUAAAACAUGAUGUAAAAAACUUGUGUAGAUCCUCCUUUAUGUUAGUCCAUGUGUAAUUUUUCCAUAAUUCUUUGUUUUUUGCAGCAUUUUUGUUAGUGUAACUGCAGAUUGUGCUGACAGUGUCUAUGGCAAAAAAAAAAAAAAAACUGAAAAUGCCUCAACAUGAACCCCUGGUGGUCUCUGAGGGUGAAACCUGCUAACUGCUGCAGCUCUGUCAGCUUCAGUCUCCCAUGCAGAGCUCGGAGCGCAUGUGUGGCUCUGCACCCUUAGCAGCGUUGCUAACUCCUCAGUAAGGAAAGCCUGCUUCAUGUCAGAGUCUCUAAACUCCAGAAGAAGUCGAUAAAAGUCACUUUCUUUCUAAAAAAAAAGUCGUUAGGGGGUCUGAAAAGUCAUUGAAUCUAACAACAAAGUCGCUAGGUUUGCAACUACGUGUCCCAGACUGCAUCCCUGCUGAGAGUCCCUCCCUCCCUUCUCAUAUUGCAGGAAGAACGUAAGCGCCCGCCCCUUGUCAAUCAGUCACCAUAUAAUUUUGGAUUGGUUGUUGUGGUGAAGUUUUCCACCAAUAGGAGAGAUGUUGUGGUGUGUUUUUUUUUUCCUUUGGCAAGCCUUUUCCGCCUGUAAGACCUGUCGCUAAUGUCUGCAUGCUAUGUUUUCCUGUCUCAUACAGCGCGAUCGAGCGCCGAACGUGAUCAAAAUAAGCAGAAAACAAGUAUCGCGGACAUAAUUUAUCAUAACUCUGGUUUUAUUUGGCCUAUCAACACAAUUUAAAAACUGGUAUAUAGGUUGAGGUCCUCACUUUUGAGAUAAGUUGAAACGGAGUCAACGAGGCUCCGUCUUGCAGCUACAUCCGGUUAAAUAUGUCAUGUGACUUGAACGCACACACACACACACACACACACACACACACACACACAGACACACACACACACGCACACACACACACUCAGAGUCUGGUUUUUAGCACCUGCAAAAACAUGCUAUUUACAUAUUUGACAAGAAUGCAGAGGCUCCUUUUGCCCCUGAAAAAAAUCAAAUUUCAAACACAACUUGACUGGUCAUUUCUCCAAAAGACAACCAUGAAGCUCCAUCCAAACCUGAAGCAGGCAGUUGGUGCAUGUGUACAGUAACCUGAGGGGAGUGAGGUGACUGCUUCUGAGGAGAACAUGAGCAGUGAAGAUUCACCUUAGAGCUAGAACAGAGACGUGCACAUGAUUAUACAGGGGCAGGGGCUCAAGUUUUUUCCAGUUGUUUAUACAAUAUGGAAAUUAAUGUGAAAUUAAAAAACAAAGUAUUAAUAGAAAGGUAAUGACUGUCCUGAGUAGGUGACAGUGAUAUCCAAUAGGCUAGGCACUCAAGAGGCUGGCUGUGGCAAGUGUAAGUGAAAGCAACACGCACUGGCAGGAAGAACAGCAAACGCCGAUGAAGGAAAAGGGUCUUUGCAGUGAUGGGCGUUACCAGAGAGGGCGAUGGCCAGAGGACACAAAUGGGACGGGGAGGCAGCGCGUUGGGGGGGGGACGCGACACAGCUCGGGCCCGCCAGUGCCCCACCGGGGUCCUAGUUAUGUCCUUGUACCUCUCAGACAUAUGUCAAACUCAUGUCCCAGCUUUAUUUCCCACAAUGCACAAUACUUUUGUUUACUUCCUGUAGUUGGUAAAUUGGUCAUCGAAAAAGUCCAGUUGCAUCAGGGCUGCGUUUACACCCACCCCGGACAGGACCAUGGUAAGUUUGGAAGGGGACUGAGUUCAGCAUUUUCAAGAGGACCAUGGUCUGUUUGAUCCGGACCACGAUUUGCUUGCACAUUCGUACUACCCGGAGCAAAGGAGUAAGGGGACCAUAGUCCUUUUAAAACGAACCAAACAGUCCUGGUGUGAAUGCACCCUGAUUCUCCUGACAGCUGGUUUUGAGACAUGGCAACAACCUGAAGUCAGAUCUUGCUGUCCUACCAGUACAUUACUAAAGGAAAAGCCUACCCAAACACUGGUCUUCAGCUAGUGUUCUUCUCCUCUCUGCUCUUUGCUGGUUCAGUCUGGCUCUUACAGUGUCUCAAGUCUUCUUUUUCUUGUGACGAAAAGUCUCAGCUAUUUUCUCUUCCCAAAGACCAAGGCUCCAGAAAACAGUUUGGAGGUUUUUAGACAACAACAGCCACAUCUUAGCUGUUUGUGCUCAACACUUCACUGAGGACUCCUCUGUAAAUAAAAGGCUGGUACAAGCUGGAUUUGAGUCACAGCUGUUACUGAAAUCUGGAGCUGUUCAUCUUUAGAGAUGAAUGCAACAUGAAAUGUACUAUAAUGUAACUAAACUGAGACCUAAGUGGAUGCAUAUUGCUAACCUCAGUCAUUUUCUGUAAAAGCAUAACUUUGGGUGGUUUCAGGACCACAAAACCGUGUCCAACUUUCUGUCAGCAUAAAAGCAGCUGAACAAAGCUUUUAUAGGCAGAGGCUGGACCGAGCUGAAACUGGGGUUUUUACAGACACCAGUAUAAAAUAAAUAAGGAUUUUUUUAAGCUGCAAGUCAGGCAAAGCCGCUCUACAGCUGUCCAAGACUGACAGAAUAGACUGUAAAAAUAAGUUUAAUUUGAGUUGGUCGCAUUUCUUCUUGAAUCAUUUUUUCUCAACUUUUGAUACCAGUGGAUCAAAUUUGAAUCUGACUGAUCAGGUCUAAACUGGACCCCACUUUGAGGCCAGUGGAUGGGAUCCUCACCUCAGGCAGCUGCUACAGUCUCUUUUAACUGUUCACAGUUUAAAUCUGACUAAGAUUCUGUCAUCCCUCUGCCAGUGGAUGGCAUUUCUUUUUUUUUUUUUUACAACUCUUAGUCCUGCUGUUUCUAAAGGCUGUUUUUUUCUGGAAUAGCUGCACUUCUCCACAGUUUUCCACCUGCCAGUCUGAACUCCAACUCAUAAAGCAACAUCACACUCUUAGGAAACAAAGAAGCGUGCUAAUCUGUUCAGCUCUCAGUGUUUGAGGACAUGGACAUUUUGCUGAGGCAGCUUUUUCUCAGAUUACGACGUGUCCCUGCUGUGUGUGACAGUGAGUCACUCCUGUUACUCUGGCAGCUCUUACUUUUUUUGGCAAACUGGAGCUCUUACACUUCAGUUUCAGUGUCACAUGCCAAUUCUGAGUAUGUGCUCCUCUGACUGCCGCUCAGACACUGUCACUCAUGACAGCUGUAUGAUACACAAAUAUUAUAAUGCUGGCAUACAACAAAUUUCUCCUGACAGAUGUCACUGUAUGCCCACACUGCUGCCACACUGAUCCAGAUGUGACUCCUCAAAACAACUAGCUGGUGCAAGCUCUGCUCACCUGAUGAGCAUCUCAGGACACACUCAGAGAGAGUGCACACACUGAGCAGUUUGAACAAAAACAAGUCCAGUACUUAAUGGCAGAGAUCAGCACC